AACGAACGCUGGCGGCAGGCCUAACACAUGCAAGUCGAGCGCCCUGGCAACAGGGAGUGGCAUACGGGUGAGUAACGCGUGGGAACGUGCCCUUCGGUUCGGAAUAACUCAGGGAAACUUGAGCUAAUACCGAAUGCGUGCGAGAGCAGAAAGAUUUAUCGCCGAAGGAUCGGCCCGCGUCCGAUUAGCUAGUUGGUGAGGUAAUGGCUCACCAAGGCGACGAUCGGUAGCUGGUCUGAGAGGAUGAUCAGCCACACUGGGACUGAGACACGGCCCAGACUCCUACGGGAGGCAGCAGUGGGGAAUAUUGGACAAUGGGCGCAAGCCUGAUCCAGCCAUGCCGCGUGAGUGAUGAAGGCCCUAGGGUUGUAAAGCUCUUUCGCCAGGGACGAUAAUGACGGUACCUGGAUAAGAAGCCCCGGCUAACUUCGUGCCAGCAGCCGCAGUAA
rnacentral:rRNA from 1 species